CCUACGGGAGGCAGCAGUGAGGAAUAUUGGUCAAUGGACGAGAGUCUGAACCAGCCAAGUAGCGUGAAGGAUGCCUGCCCUAUGGGUUGUAAACUUCUUUUAUAUGGGAAUAAAACGUUCCACGUGUGGGAUUUUGUAUGUACCAUAUGAAUAAGGAUCGGCUAACUCCGUGCCAGCAGCCGCGGUAAUACGGAGGAUCCGAGCGUUAUCCGGAUUUAUUGGGUUUAAAGGGAGCGUAGGUGGAUUGUUAAGUCAGUUGUGAAAGUUUGCGGCUCAACCGUAAAAUUGCAGUUGAAACUGGCAGUCUUGAGUACAGUAGAGGUGGGCGGAAUUCGUGGUGUAGCGGUGAAAUGCUUAGAUAUCACGAAGAACUCCGAUUGCGAAGGCAGUUCACUGGACUGCAACUGACACUGAGGCUCGAAAGUGUGGGUAUCAAACAGGAUUAGAUACCCCGGUAGUC
rnacentral:rRNA from 1 species